AGAGACUGUUGGUUCUCACCUUUAAUUUGAGAGUAUUCACAAACUCCACCUGGAGUAAAUCUGUAAGAAUUAAAAACAUUUUAAUGCACAAUCCUCUAUUUAUAUAGACUAUAUAAUCCUCUAGUUAUUGGACAAAUUCUCCUAAUCAUAAAUAAAAUGAACACUUUGUCCAGAAUCCUUUGCAGACAGUGACUGAAGCCUGAGUUCAUGCACAUCAUCACAGAAUAGGUUUCCUCCUUUGUUCUGCUGAGCCUGGUCUUUACUGCAGCUGUCUUCACUUGUUGAUUCUUUCUUCAGUUUUGUCUUUUAAGUGAAAUACGUUUGAAUUAGGUUAAAGUUGACUUGACCCCUGCAGAAUAUUCCACUUCUUUACUCCACAAACUCCUGGGUUUCUUUCACAAUAUCUCAUGGCUCAUUGUCCAUCUGGGCUGUGAAGCACCAUCCAAUCAUCUUUCUUCAUUUGUCUGAAUAUCUCUCUACUUCUCUCUACUGUAUCGUAUGAUAUUGUGUUGUCUUAUAUAAUAGUUAGCUAACUGCGUAGUUAGGAGACAAAUGUAGACCAUAACUUGGAAACAUAGCUGGUCAAGUAGUUGAAAUGGUGGAGAAUCAAAUGUACUUUGGAUUCAUCCUGGACAAUAAACUGAGUUUUGAACAACACAUCACUGUCAUUCAUUAAUGCCACUGACUCUCUGCCAACCAUACACUCUGAGCACUUUUAGUUGUCCCACCCCAGUUGCAGUAGCACAAAUCACUAAAGAGGCUGUAAUAUGUUAGUUGGUGCGCAUGUGUAGUGGUGUGAAUUUAAACAUGUUUGAGUUUGACACAUUUUCAGGUCUCAAAAAGAGGACACGUCUGAUGCUAAAGCUAACGGUUUUCCUUCUUCAGUUUGUUGGAAUUUUGUUGCUUUGUUAAAGUUUCACUGAGCUGAAUGACUAAUACACAUCAUAGAAUCAUUUUACUCUUCGUUCAGUUUGAAGCUAAAUUAUCCAGUAUGCUAUGCUAUGCUAUGCUAUGACAUGUUUAUCAAGUAUUUUCUGCUAUGCUAACAGCUACUGAUGCAGCUUUUUAAGCUGACUCUGUUUUAAAAAUCUAUCAGAUUUUUUUUUAUUUUUCAGAUCUUAAACCUGUUCCUGUCCCUUUCUGCCCAUAUUCUAAUAUAAACAAAUAUUUAUUUUAAGUUCAGAGAACAAUCUGUACUAAAACUACAGUUCCCAUCAUUCUUUGAUCAACCUGGAGCACUGGAACUGAAGCUGAUGCAAACUCACUGAGUGUUUCUGGUUUAUCUCUCAGACUGACUGAAGGCCAGAAGAUGGAGGAAGAGGAGGACAGAGUCAGCUGUCUGUCUAUGAAGAGUGACAGGUCCAACCAUCAACCUCCAGACUUCAGUGGAGAACCUCGACCCUCAGACACAAAAGGUCAGUACCACAGACAGAGAGCAGAGUCUACAGUAUCCAGCUGUCUGUCUAUGAAGAGUGACAACUCCAAGAUUAAUCCUCCAGAAUUCAGUGGAGAACCAGGACCUUCAGACACAAAUGAGAGGAAGAGGAGUCAUGUUUCUGUGGAGGAGCAGCUGUCCUGCUGUGCUUUGUGUCAGG